UACGGAGGGUGCAAGCGUUAUCCGGAUUCACUGGGUUUAAAGGGGGCGCAGGCGGGCCUGUAAGUCAGUGGUGAAAUACCUGAGCUCAACUCGGGAACUGCCAUUGAUACUAUGGGCCUUGAAUGACGUUGAGGUUUGCGGAAUGGGUCAUGUAGCGGUGAAAUGCAUAGAUAUGACCCGGAACACCGAUUGCGAAGGCAGCAGGCUAAAACGUAAAUUGACGCUGAGGCCCGAAAGCGUGGGGAUCGAAAACAAGG
rnacentral:rRNA from 1 species